rnacentral:misc_RNA from 1 species
GAUGAAGAACGCAGCGAAAUGCGAUAAGUAAUGUGAAUUGCAGAAUUCAGUGAAUCAUCGAAUCUUUGAACGCACCUUGCGCCCUUUGGCCAUUCCGAAGGGCAUGCCUGUUUGAGUAUCAUGAACACCUCAACUCUUCAUGGUUUUCCAUGAUGAGCUUGGACUUUGGGGGUCUUGCUGGCCUGUGGGUCGGCUCCUCUCAAAUGAAUCGGCUUGCCGGUUUUUGGUGGGCAUCACAGGUGUGAUAACUAUCUACGCUUGUGGUUUUCCACCAGGGUAACCUUCAGCAGUGGAGGUUCACUGGAGCUUACAAAUGUCUCUCCUCUGUGAGGACAGCCCUUUGAAUGUUUGAUCUCAAAUCAGGUAGGACUACCCGCUGAACUUAAGCAUAUCAAUAAGCGGAGGA